UGCUCAGCCUGUGACCACAAUUGUGAUCAAGCCUGGUGUGUCUCACUAUUUACACACUCUUUUGAUAACACUGGAGUCGAGAGUUGCAUCCUAACGUAACUCACUGUACUCCAGCAAUGCUGGGGCCGCCUCCCAGCCUCCCUCGGGUCUCAUGGAGGUGGUGAACCUGCAGCAGUUUUAUGGGUCGUGAGGGCUGAAGGACGCAGCGCACCUCACCGCCGUGCCUCUUGAUGGUCUCUCUGCCGCCAAUCCCGCCAAGGGCGAGGCAGCCUGGGCCACAGCGCUGGUGCUGGUGUUGCUAGAGAGGAAGUUUGGUGAGCAGAGGGAGGAGUGGGAGCUGCUGGCCACCAAGGGGCGUGCUUUCCUGGUUGGGUGUGGGGAGCAGCCCGAGGAAAUGCUGGCCAAGGCUCGACUCACGCUGGACUCCCAGUGAUUACCCAUGGACGCAAGGUAGUGGCAGUGGUGACUUCCCCACAGGACCGGCCGGCAGCCAUUGCUGAGAGACAUAGUCAGAAACACUCUGCUCUCUCACCAUGACUAGUUUCCAAGGCCACAGAGAUGAUUAGCCUGGUUCUCAGGAAUGUUUUUUUUUUUCUGAUAAUAAGGUAAAAAUGUUGUUAAUCUGCCACUAGAACUGUAAAAACACCCUUAGAAGCCUGCGUCACUUCAACAAGAGCCUUUUAAAAGUAGUGAAGGUGUGGUGUGGAAGUGUUUGAGAGUACAGUCCUGAAAGCCGUGGUGGAGCUGUGUAGUGUGGCAGUGGUGGGCUCACUGUCACUGGGGUGUUAUGCCACACACUUCUUGUGCCACUCAGUCAGGCUUGCAAUGUCCUAGUUUUCAUAGUAUACUCAAAUUUCAU